GUGGGUGUAGCUCAGUGGUAGAGCAUGUACUUAGCAUACAUGAGGUCCUGGGUUCAAUCCCCAGUCCCUCCA
rnacentral:tRNA from 1 species